rnacentral:rRNA from 1 species
UACGGAAGGCAGCAGUGGGGAAUAUUGCACAAUGGGCGCAAGCCUGAUGCAGCCAUGCCGCGUGUAUGAAGAAGGCCUUCGGGUUGUAAAGUACUUUUCAGCGGGGAGGAAGGCGAUGCGGUUAAUAACCGCGUCGAUUGACGUUACCCGCAGAAGAAGCACCGGCUAACUCCGUGCCAGCAGCCGCGGUAAUACGGAGGGUGCAAGCGUUAAUCGGAAUUACUGGGCGUAAAGCGCACGCAGGCGGUCUGUUAAGUCAGAUGUGAAAUCCCCGGGCUUAACCUGGGAACUGCAUUUUGAACUGGCAGGCUUGAGUCUUGUAGAGGGGGUAGAAUUCCAGGUGUAGCGGUGAAAUGCGUAGAGAUCUGGAGGAAUACCGGUGGCGAAGGCGGCCCCUGGGACAAAGACUGACGCUCAGGGUGCGAAAGCGUGGGGAGCAAACGAGGAUUAGGAUACC